rnacentral:lncRNA from 1 species
AAUAUUUCACCUCGAUUUUAUUCAGAAUUUCGAACUUGUUUGCCUUCGUUUCGGGCAAGGCAAAACCCUCCUCAUUCUUCAAUUUCCAUAAACAAUCACUGUACGGUACUCUCUCUCUCUCUCUCUCUCUCUCUCUCUGUGUUGGUCCUACAUAGAUUGUGAUAGAAAUGUACCGGUAUCUCAAUCAUAUAGUAAAAUCAAGAUUUGGAGCUUUCCCCUGGUUUCCCUAAUUGCAGAGUUCCAUGGAUUAUUAGGGUUCUUGUAAGAAAUAUAUUUUUAUGAGAUUGGUUCAAUCAAGAAAUAGUUUCUUAUUUUUUAUUUUCUGAAGUACUCCUGCUUCAAGAUAUGGGUUUUGAUUUUCUUCUUCUUUGAUUUUCUUUUGUUAAUUUCAUAAGUUAUCAGAAGGAGCUAUUAACAAUGAGUGAUUCAGGUGUGGUAUGGUAUAUAUAUACGUGUGUCUGUUUUUUUUUUCCUUUUCAAAAAUUACUAAUGGUUCUAAUGCUCAUCAGGUUCCUCCACAUUAAGCUAUGAGGGGCCAGUUUCCUCUGGUGGGUGAUGGGAUUGGUUUUCCAAAGUCGAUCAAUUUUUUCGCACCAAGGUAAUUUUCCGUCAUGCCCCUAGGAAAUCAAAAGCUCUUAACUUUUCCUUAAAGAUGAGAUAAUAGUUUUAUGGCCUUAUACGUCUAUAGGAUUCUACCUAGCAACCCAAUCAAACAGUUCGAAUAAAAUAUUUGGGGUAUUAAAAACUCUUAAAAGUUUUAGUGUGAGCUCAGUUUUCUUCUUCUUUGAUUUUCUUUUGUAAUUAUAAACUAACAUUACAGGGCAUCAAAAAAUCUUAACUUUUCUAUAGGAUUCUACCUAGCAACCCUAUCAAACAGUUUUCUGAGCAUUACCAGAAUUGACUCCCAUUAGAUAAUGUAUGAGACGUAUUAUUAUAUGUAACGCAAUUUCAAGAAACUUAUGAGGAACUUUCAGGAUUAAUAGGACUCUAGUGUACCUUUUUAGUGAGCUCAGUUUUCUUGAAUUGUUACUGGAUGAUGCAAAUUUUCACAAAUCACUAUACAAUGCACAUUAUGAAAUUAGUUCGAAUAAAAUAUUUGGUAUGUAUUUUUCAAGCGUGUUUAUGCUUCUGCUGGUUUUCUGGUAUAACCACUUGGAACUGUCUAUGCCAAUUAAAACCUGAUUCCUUAAUUUGUGACUGUGACUUGCUUCUUUCAGCACCAACUACACACAUGCAGCCUGCCUGAACUUAGCUGUAGAACGGUUGUACAAUGAAAUGAUUACUUCUUUCUCAAUUUCAAGAAACUUACGAGGAACUUUCAAGAUCAAUAAUAGGACUCUCUAGUGUACCCUUUUAGUCAGCUCAGUUUUCUUGAAUUGUUUCUGGAUGAUGCAAAUUUUCACAAAUCACUACAAAAUGGACAUUAUGAAAUUAGUUCGAAUAAAAUAUUUGGUCUGCAUUCUUCAAGCAUAUUUAUGCUUCUGCUGGUUAUUUCUGAUAGUUUUUGGUAUAACGAACUUGUAACUGUCUUGAUGCUAAUUAAGCUUGAUUCCUUAAUUUUGUGACCGUGGCUUGCUUCUUCAGCACCAACUACACACAUGCACCCUGCCUGAACUUAGCUGUAGAACGAUUGUACUAUGAAAUGAUUACUUUUUUCCCAUAGAUGACAGUAUCAACCUUUUAAUGUCUUCUUUUCUCUCACCCAUGACCUUACAGGCAGAUCAAGACCCUGCGGUUUUAAUUCCAGUCUAUCUCAUGAGCGGGCAAGCUGGUGACUUAAUUGGUGAUGUAGAUCGCCAUUUGCUGCUGAAUUACCAGAUGGGGACAUCACUGGGCCGGUUCUACGUUCUAUUCAAAAUGGUCAGAGAAACUUCCAGAUGGAACUCGGGCUUGCCUCCACAAUUUUAUUCACCGACCACUAAGGGAAAUGACCGUUGAGGGAAUCUAUUUGGGAAAGCGCUGGUCAGCAAACUAUUCAUUUGAUAUUUAAGUGUUGU